rnacentral:ribozyme from 1 species
GAUGUGAAGAUUAAAGUGCCCAACGACGAAGCGAUGUGUGCGGAAUGUUACAUGAUGAAACGAGGUAAGAAACCCC